UGAAGUUAGCGGCGGACGGGUGAGUAACACGUGGGUAACCUGCCCAUAAGACUGGGAUAACUCCGGGAAACCGGGGCUAAUACCGGAUAACAUUUUGAACCGCAUGGUUCGAAAUUGAAAGGCGGCUUCGGCUGUCACUUAUGGAUGGACCCGCGUCGCAUUAGCUAGUUGGUGAGGUAACGGCUCACCAAGGCAACGAUGCGUAGCCGACCUGAGAGGGUGAUCGGCCACACUGGGACUGAGACACGGCCCAGACUCCUACGGGAGGCAGCAGUAGGGAAUCUUCCGCAAUGGACGAAAGUCUGACGGAGCAACGCCGCGUGAGUGAUGAAGGCUUUCGGGUCGUAAAACUCUGUUGUUAGGGAAGAACAAGUGCUAGUUGAAUAAGCUGGCACCUUGACGGUACCUAACCAGAAAGCCACGGCUAACUACGUGCCAGCAGCCGCGGUAAUACGUAGGUGGCAAGCGUUAUCCGGAAUUAUUGGGCGUAAAGCGCGCGCAGGUGGUUUCUUAAGUCUGAUGUGAAAGCCCACGGCUCAACCGUGGAGGGUCAUUGGAAA
rnacentral:rRNA from 1 species